rnacentral:rRNA from 1 species
UACGAAGGGGGCUAGCGUUGUUCGGAAUUACUGGGCGUAAAGCGCGCGCAGGCGGUCUUCCAAGUCAGUGGUGAAAGCCCGGAGCUCAACUCCGGAACUGCCAUUGAAACUGUGAGACUGGAGUACGAGAGAGGUGAGUGGAAUUCCCAGUGUAGAGGUGAAAUUCGUAGAUAUUGGGAAGAACACCAGUGGCGAAGGCGGCUCACUGGCCCGAUACUGACGCUGAGGCACGAAAGCGUGGGGAGCAAACAGG